AUACUUUCCUGUCAGGGGAGAUACCAUCAUCAGGAAGUUGGUUUUCCCAGGGCAAAACUUAUCAAUUGCACCCCAGAUGUGCGGACCCCUGUGAUUUCCCCAAACAUGGGAAACUCAACUGCAUAAUUUGUGGUAGUGGGGGACUGCAUUCGUGCUCUCCCCAG